rnacentral:rRNA from 1 species
CCUACGGGGUGCAGCAGUGAGGAAUAUUGGUCAAUGGGAGAGAUCCUGAACCAGCCAAGCCGCGUGAGGGAAGACGGCCCCAUGGGUUGUAAACUUCUUUUGUCGGAGAACAAAACCCGGGACGUGUCCCGGACCGCGUGUACUUGAAGAAAAAGCAUCGGCUAACUCCGUGCCAGCAGCCGCGGUAAUACGGAGGAUGCGAGCGUUAUCCGGAUUUAUUGGGUUUAAAGGGUGCGUAGGCGGACCGUUAAGUCAGCGGUAAAAGCGCGGGGCUCAACCCCGUCGAGCCGUUGAAACUGGCAGACUUGAGAUGGCGAGAGGUACGCGGAAUGCGCGGUGUAGCGGUGAAAUGCAUAGAUAUCGCGCAGAACUCCGAUUGCGAAGGCAGCGUACCGGCGCCGGGCUGACGCUGAGGCACGAAAGCGUGGGGAUCGAACAGGAUUAGAUACCCCAGUAGUC